CAUUGUCAAAGCUGUCGCUUUGGAUAUGAAGAUUGCUGGCAUAUAGUCAGCUUUUUUGAAAUGCAUUAGUGGGAUCAUGCUGGUGUGAUAAGCUAUUAUCACCAAAUGAAUAUCCUGCUUUACCACUGUAAUUUGAC
rnacentral:misc_RNA from 1 species